UUAAAAUUGUUGCAGUUAAAAAGCUCGUAGUUGAAUUUCUGCCGCAUCGCGGCGGCCCUCCCGGGCCCAGCGUUGCGGCUUAUUUCGGACUCGCUUGCGUCUCCGAAUGUUUACUUUGAGAAAAUUAGAGUGCUCAAAGCAGGCCCUUGCCUUGAAUACUUUAGCAUGGAAUAAUAAAGUAGGACUUUGGUUCUAUUUUGUUGGUUUAGCGCCAAAGUAAUGGUUAAUAGGAACAGUUGGGGGCAUUCGUAUUUAACUGUCAGAGGUGAAAUUCUU
rnacentral:rRNA from 1 species